CACACCGCCUCACUCAGAGGACGCAGCAGGCAGUCGGAGACAGAGUGUGUGACAUCAAACAGAAAGUCUCAGUCAAAGCUCUGAUUUAAAAAGAGAGGUGAAGAGAAGGGAGAUGAAAAAGUGUGUCAGGAGGAAUUUCAGAGGUCAGCAUGCACUAUUCUGCACAUCUGCAUCUGUGCCGGUGAAGUUGUGGGCCUGGAGGAUGAGCCUGAGGAAGAUGUGUGUGGAGGAGGUCAGUGGUGCUCUGUCCUGGAGGUACCAGCAAACCACCACUACUGUUAACAGAGAUGUAACAGCCGUCGUCUGAGCCAGUCCAGCAGUCCCUGUAGAUGGACGAUGGAGUGGACAGUGAGAGGAAGUGUCCCAAAGCUCUCUCUACAGACCGUCCUGUAUGAUGUUCCUCUGACCAGAAACGUCCAGCCACGGGUCUGCUCCAGCCCUCCAUCCACAUCUGGAUCCUCCUGCAGCAGAUCCAGCUGCACUGACUUGGGUUAAAGAGGUUUUGCUCCGGAUGGCCGGUCUGAAACUUUCUCAACAAUUCACAAGAACUGACUCACGGUGAAGUGAGUCCUGUUUUAAUAAUCGUCAUAUUUUGAUUUACUAACAAAUCGGAAUUUGACAUGUAAAAAGGGUUUUACCAACAAACCUCGGAAAACACAACUCGCAUCAGAUACAGGAGUUCGGAUUGGUGGAACAGAAAGCAAUGUGUCAGGAUAUUAGCUUAACCUUGUCAUCGUCACAUGUCUGAGUGUGUGAGCUGUCAGCAGAUAGUGAUUCACUUGUUAAAACUGACUUUACUGAUCAUAACAUAAUAAUAUUCAUUUCAACCUCAGUAAUUUAAGCACAGAUAAAUCAAAACAUUGUUAUUAUUCUUCAACCAUUAUUGUUCAUUCAACCAUAUGAUUAUUUACUCAUCUUGUUCAUUAUAUGAUUCAAUUUUGAAAGUUCAUCCAUCUUGUGCUGUGAAUAAAAACCAGUCUUAGAUAAGAGUGAGCUUGGAGGAACCUUGGCCAAGCAAAAGUAUCUGAUUUAAGCACCAGUUAAAGGUUGGUUUAUGCUUGUCGCGUCCGCGAGGUCCGCACGGCUCCGCGCGGAAAAGUAGCGUCAUUUUGAGUCAUUUUAACAACCACGCCCCUCCACCAGGCCUCCGCACGGCCCAGAAUUUCCGCAACGCACACCUCGGAAAAUUUCUUUAACCACGCGGACGGACGGACGUGGAAAAACAUGGCGGACCGGCAAGAACUAGUAUGGCAGAGGUUCGUAAAUACAGACAUUUGUAUGAUUCAGCUCUCAGAGAUCACCGUGAUCAACAUGUUGUAAAUAAUUCUUGGAGAGAAAUAGCUCGCACUGUCGGAAAAGACGAGGACGCUGUUAAUAAUGCUGAAAUGCCAUGUUGUAAACAGCAAUUUCUACUUCUACUAUGGUGUAGUGUUGGAUGCAUGCCGUAGAGCUCCAUGCUGCCCCGUUCAGUUUGGGAGAAUAUUGGCUCACCGCAGAGACGAGCCACACAAACCAUAAACGCUGCGAGUUGUGAAGCGCGUUCCAUCUGCGAGCCACAUCACCAAGCGGAAAGUGAAUGCGUCAAGCAUAAACCAAGCUUAAGACUUAUGUCUCCAAAUGACCCGAUACUGAAGAGGUGACCUGUAGAUUCCCAGAGGCUACAACUGCAUGGAUGGACGCAUGGAUGUUGUAUUUUUGUAUCAAGCAGCAACAAAAAUCCUGCAAACAUCUACAUCUAAAUACAAGAUUCUUUUUAAUCAUCUUACAGCCAACACAACCAGGUUUUUAUUUUCCAGUGACGGUUUUUGGACCAUGGUGGAAUUUCUCACAGGCUGCGAGAUGGAUUGUCACGACAUUUGGUCCCGACAUUUAUGAUCACCAGAGGAUAAAUCCUGCUCACUUCAGGAAUUCCUUGAUGUCUUUUUUUUUAUAACAGCCACGUGAUGUUCAGAUUUAUGGUUUUGAAUAAAACAUCUCAGUAUUGAA